rnacentral:rRNA from 1 species
AUGAACGCUGGCGGCGUGCCUAAUACAUGCAAGUCGAGCGAACAGACGAGGAGCUUGCUCCUCUGACGUUAGCGGCGGACGGGUGAGUAACACGUGGAUAACCUACCUAUAAGACUGGGAUAACUUCGGGAAACCGGAGCUAAUACCGGAUAAUAUAUUGAACCGCAUGGUUCAAUAGUGAAAGACGGUUUUGCUGUCACUUAUAGAUGGAUCCGCGCCGCAUUAGCUAGUUGGUAAGGUAACGGCUUACCAAGGCAACGAUGCGUAGCCGACCUGAGAGGGGAGAGGGCCACACGGAAACGGGACCACGGCCCAGACCCCUAGGGGGGGAAGCAGGGGGAAAUCUUCCGCAAGGGGGGAAAGCCUGAGGGGGCAACGCCGGGGGGGGAAUAAGGGUUUUGGGAUCGAAAAACUCUUUUAUUGGGAAAAAAAAAAUGGGAAAAUAACUAUGCCCGUUUGGAGGGAACCUAAGAAAAAAGCCCGGGGUAACUAGGG